rnacentral:rRNA from 1 species
GGUGACAGCCCCGUACACAAAAAUGCACACAUUGUGAGCUCGAUGAGUAGGGCGGGACACGUGGUAUCCUGUCUGAAUAUGGGGGGACCAUCCUCCAAGGCUAAAUACUCCUGACUGACCGAUAGUGAACCAGUACCGUGAGGGAAAGGCGAAAAGAACCCCGGCGAGGGGAGUGAAAAAGAACCUGAAACCGUGUACGUACAAGCAGUGGGAGCCUCUUAAUGGGGUGACUGCGUACCUUUUGUAUAAUGGGUCAGCGACUUAUAUUCUGUAGCAAGGUUAACCGAAUAGGGGAGCCGAAGGGAAACCGAGUCUUAACUGGGCGUUAAGUUGCAGGGUAUAGACCCGAAACCCGGUGAUCUAGCCAUGGGCAGGUUGAAGGUUGGGUAACACUAACUGGAGGACCGAACCGACUAAUGUUGAAAAAUUAGCGGAUGACUUGUGGCUGGGGGUGAAAGGCCAAUCAAACCGGGAGAUAGCUGGUUCUCCCCGAAAGCUAUUUAGGUAGCGCCUCGUGAAUUCAUCUCCGGGGGUAGAGCACUGUUUCGGCAAGGGGGUCAUCCCGACUUACCAACCCGAUGCAAACUGCGAAUACCGGAGAAUGUUAUCACGGGAGACACACGGCGGGUGCUAACGUCCGUCGUGAAGAGGGAAACAACCCAGACCGCCAGCUAAGGUCCCAAAGUCAUGGUUAAGUGGGAAACGAUGUGGGAAGGCCCAGACAGCCAGGAUGUUGGCUUAGAAGCAGCCAUCAUUUAAAGAAAGCGUAAUAGCUCACUGGUCGAGUCGGCCUGCGCGGAAGAUGUAACGGGGCUAAACCAUGCACCGAAGCUGCGGCAGCGACACUAUGUGUUGUUGGGUA